ACGGGUGAGUAACACGUGAGUAAUCUGCCCUGGACUCUGGGAUAGCCACCGGAAACGGUGAUUAAUACCGGAUAUGACCACUCUAGGCAUCUAGUGGUGGUGGAAAGUUUUUCGGUCCAGGAUGUGCUCGCGGCCUAUCAGCUUGUUGGUGAGGUAAUGGCUCACCAAGGCUUUGACGGGUAGCCGGCCUGAGAGGGUGACCGGUCACACUGGGACUGAGACACGGCCCAGACUCCUACGGGAGGCAGCAGUGGGGAAUAUUGGACAAUGGGCGGAAGCCUGAUCCAGCAACGCCGCGUGAGGGAUGACGGCCUUCGGGUUGUAAACCUCUUUCAGUACCGACGAAGCGAAAGUGACGGUAGGUACAGAAGAAGGACCGGCCAACUACGUGCCAGCAGCCGCGGUAAUACGUAGGGUCCGAGCGUUGUCCGGAAUUAUUGGGCGUAAAGGGCUCGUAGGCGGUUUGUCGCGUCGGGAGUGAAAACAGCGGGCUUAACUCGUUGCUUGCUUUCGAUACGGGCAGACUAGAGGUAUGCAGGGGAGAAUGGAAUUCCUGGUGUAGCGGUGAAAUGCGCAGA
rnacentral:rRNA from 10 species